rfam:Pseudoalteromonas citrea strain KMM216 contig0200, whole genome shotgun sequence.
UACUAUAUUCGGGUAUCGAGAAAAGCCUCUACGAUUUAGUAUAUUAGUAACCGUACCGCAAACGAACACUCGUGGGUAGGUGGAGAACACUAAGGCGAACGAGACAACCAUGGUUAAGGAACUCGGCAAAACAGCGGUCGUAACUUCGGGAUAAGACCUGCCUCGCUUCUAAUUUAGAAACGAGGCCGCAGCGAAAGAGCUCAGGCGACUGUUUACCAAAAACACAGCUCUCUGCAAACUCGUAAGAGGAUGUAUAGGGGGUGAUGCCUGCCCAGUGCCAGAAGGUUACGUGGAUGAGUGCAAGCUCUGAAACUAAGCCCUGGUGAACGGCGGCCGUAACUAU